GUUUAGAUAUGUUAAGAUUUGACUGUAAUAUACACCCUAAGCGAAAAACUACAACUGUUAUAUUUGCCGUAAAACCGUUCAAUCAAAACACCCAGCUCAACCGUCAAUUCAAAUGCUAUAUCGAAUGCAAAAGGCCUUUCGCAAAGCGCCACAAAAAAUACCGCAGCGAAAACAUAGCACGAAACAGAGCGAACAAAAAUCACUCACACAACCAACGAUGUAUAACGAUGGUGCUAGAAACCGCCUCAGCAUUUAUGCACUGCCGGCAAACGAAAAACGUACGCCGCAGAAGAAGGACGAACAAAUUUCACUCUGUUCGUUUCCUAAUCCGCAGUAGCGCGGCAAGUGAUUUUGUAGUUUUUUUCACGAGCAGCAGCCGUCAGGGAAUCAGUUCGGACUGGAUUCACGGAGACCGGAUUUAGUCCACCAGGCCUCAGAAGCGCAUUCAAACGACGCUGUCUAAACUGGCUUGCUUCGAGUGGCACGAGACGACGAAAGUGCACGUGAACCACGCCAGGCUGGAAGUAACCAGAAAGAAUCCGACAGAGGCAGAUCGACUGGCGUUGCGCAAUUACAGUGAGAGUGAAGACCCCUUCUUGAAGGGGUCUUUUUUCUCCCCUUGCUUUCUAGCAUUCUGCAGUUCGUAGGACGGUCAAGGUCACAGAGCCAAAAGUUCGACGAAGGCGAGUUGGUGUUAAAAACGGAGGCUGGCUGGACUUCUGCUCGUGAACAAGGCGCAUAAUUGGAGUGCGGACGGAUGGAAAAGAAAGCAUGAAGGCUGCUAGUUGGCGAGAACGACGUACAGAAACGCCAACGUCGUACAAGAACGCGAACGACGCACAGGAGCGUGGGCAAUAGGAAAAUGGCGGAAUAGUGAGUAGUAAAAUGUAAGAAGAGUGCAGUAGGAAGAAGAGAAAAGGCAUGAGAAGAGGUUAGGGUGUAAGCAUGGUGGAAGAGAGGAAGUAAGAAGAAAGAAGCCAUGGUAGAGGCAUAGUAGAUAGGAGCGAUCAAAGAGAAAGGAAUAAGAAGAGGAAAAGUGAACAUGGGAACAAUAUAUGUUUAUUGAUUUGAGUAACACACAUUCUUUUGAUUUGAGUUGGUGCAUUUUGUCCUUAGUGUUUGCGUUUGGCUUCGCUUUUGGUAGUUCUG